UACGUAGGUGGCAAGCGUUGUCCGGAUUUACUGGGCGUAAAGAGCGCGCAGGCGGUCGUUCAAGUCGCGUGUGAAAGCCCCCGGCUCAACUGGGGAGGGUCACGCGAUACUGAUCGACUCGAAGGCAGGAGAGGGAAGUGGAAUUCCCGGUGUAGAGGUGAAAUGCGUAGAUAUCGGGAGGAACACCAGUGGCGAAGGCGACUUCCUGGCCUGUUCUUGACGCUGAGGCGCGAAAGCUAGGGGAGCAAACGGG
rnacentral:rRNA from 1 species